AACGAACGCUGGCGGCAGGCCUAACACAUGCAAGUCGAGCGGACAUCUUCGGGUGUUAGCGGCGGACGGGUGAGUAACGCGUGGGAACGUGCCCUUUGCUUCGGAAUAGCCUCGGGAAACUGGGAGUAAUACCGGAUGUACCCUUUGGGGGAAAGAUUUAUCGGCAAAGGAUCGGCCCGCGUUGGAUUAGGUAGUUGGUGGGGUAAUGGCCUACCAAGCCGACGAUCCAUAGCUGGUUUGAGAGGAUGAUCAGCCACACUGGGACUGAGACACGGCCCAGACUCCUACGGGAGGCAGCAGUGGGGAAUCUUAGACAAUGGGGGAAACCCUGAUCUAGCCAUGCCGCGUGAGCGAUGAAGGCCUUAGGGUUGUAAAGCUCUUUCACCGGGGAAGAUAAUGACGGUACCCGGAGAAGAAGCCCCGGCUAACUCCGUG
rnacentral:rRNA from 1 species